rnacentral:rRNA from 1 species
AGUGAACGCUGGCGGUAGGCCUAACACAUGCAAGUCGAACGGCAGCACAGGAGAGCUUGCUCUCUGGGUGGCGAGUGGCGGACGGGUGAGGAAUACAUCGGAAUCUACUUUUUCGUGGGGGAUAACGUAGGGAAACUUACGCUAAUACCGCAUACGACCUACGGGUGAAAGCAGUGGAUCUUCGGACCUUGCGCGAUUGAAUGAGCCGACGUCGGAUUAGCUAGUUGGCGGGGUAAAGGCCCACCAAGGCGACGAUCCGUAGCUGGUCUGAGAGGAUGAUCAGCCACACUGGAACUGAGACACGGUCCAGACUCCUACGGGAGGCAGCAGUGGGGAAUAUUGGACAAUGGGCGCAAGCCUGAUCCAGCCAUACCGCGUGGGUGAAGAAGGCCUUCGGGUUGUAAAGCCCUUUUGUUGGGAAAGAAAUCCAGCUGGUUAAUACCCGGUUGGGAUGACGGUACCCAAAGAAUAAGCACCGGCUAACUUCGUGCCAGCCGCCGCGGUAA